UACGAAGGGGGGCUAGCGUUGCUCGGAAUCACUGGGCGUAAAGCGCACGUAGGCGGAUCUUUAAGUCAGGGGGUGAAAUCCCAAGGCUCACCUUGGAACUGCCUUUGAUACUGGGGGAUCUCGAGUCCGGAAGAGGUUGGUGGAACUGCGAGUGUAGAGGUGAAAUUCGUAGAUAUUCGCAAGAACACCAGUGGCGAAGGCGGCCAACUGGUCCGGUACUGGACGCUGAGGUGCGAAAGCGUGGGGAGCAAACAGG
rnacentral:rRNA from 1 species